rnacentral:siRNA from 1 species
UAUAUGGUUAAAGCGCACAGAUU